GAUACGUUCGUUGGGUAGGGGAGCGUUCUGUAAGCCUGUGAAGGUGGCCUGUGAGGGUUGCUGGAGGUAUCAGAAGUGCGAAUGCUGACAUAAGUAACGAUAAAGCGGGUGAAAAGCCCGCUCGCCGGAAGACCAAGGGUUCCUGUCCAACGUUAAUCGGGGCAGGGUGAGUCGACCCCUAAGGCGAGGCCGAAAGGCGUAGUCGAUGGGAAACGGGUUAAUAUUCCCGUACUUGGUGUUACUGCGAAGGGGGGACGGAGAAGGCUAUGUUGGCCGGGCGACGGUUGUCCCGGUUUAAGCGUGUAGGUGUGUGUUCCAGGUAAAUCCGGUUCACUUUAACACUGAGGCGUGACGACGAGGCACUACGGUGCUGAAGCAACAAAUGCCCUGCUUCCAGGAAAAGCCUCUAAGCAUCAGGUAACAUCAAAUCGUACCCCAAACCGACACAGGUGGUCAGGUAGAGAAUACCAAGGCGCUUGAGAGAACUCGGGUGAAGGAACUAGGCAAAAUGGUGCCGUAACU
rnacentral:rRNA from 1 species